rnacentral:rRNA from 1 species
AUUGAACGCUGGCGGCAGGCCUAACACAUGCAAGUCGAACGAGUGGCGGACGGGUGAGUAAUGUCUGGGAAACUGCCUGAUGGAGGGGGAUAACUACUGGAAACUGUAGCUAAUACCGCAUUCUAUCAGAUGUGCCCAGAUGGGAGUAGGUAGUUGGUGUGGUAACGGCUCACCAAGGCGACGAUGCCUAGCUGGUCUGAGGAGAUGAACAGCCACACGGGAACUGAGACACGGUCCAGACUCCUACGGAGGGCAGCAGUGGGGAUUAUUGCACAAUGGGCGGAAGCCUGAUGCAGACAGGCCGCGUGUAUGAAGAAGGCUUUCGGGUUUAAAAGUACUUUCAGCGGGGAGACGUUACCGGCAGAAGAAGCAACGGCUAACUCCGUGCCAGCAGCCGCGGUAAUUC